GAUGAACGCUAGCGGCGUGCCUAACACAUGCAAGUCGAACGUGAAGCCGGCUUCGGUUGGUGGAAAGUGGCGGACGGGUGAGUAACACGUAAGUAACCUGCCUCAGAGUGGGGGAUAACCAUUAGAAAUGAUGGCUAAUACCGCAUGGUUUUGCUAAGAUGGGAAUUUUGGCAAAUAAAGCUAAGGCGCUUUGAGAGGGGCUUGCGUCCGAUUAGUUAGUUGGUGGGGUAAAGGCCUACCAAGGCGAUGAUCGGUAGCUGGUCUGAGAGGGUGAACGGCCACACUGGGACUGAGACACGGCCCAGACUCCUACGGGAGGCAGCAGUGAGGAAUUUUCCGCAAUGGGCGCAAGCCUGACGGAGCGACGCCGCGUGAGGGAUGACGGCCUUCGGGUUGUAAACCUCUUUUAUUAAGGAAAAAGGUUUAUGUGUUAAUACCACGUAAACUUGAUGGUAC
rnacentral:rRNA from 1 species